GGGUUGUGAGGUUAAGCGACUAAGCGUACACGGUGGAUGCCCUGGCAGUCAGAGGCGAUGAAGGACGUGUUAAUCUGCGAUAAGCGUCGGUAAGGUGAUAUGAACCGUUAUAACCGGCGAUUUCCGAAUGGGGAAACCCAGUGUGUUUCGACACACUAUCAUUAACUGAAUCCAUAGGUUAAUGAGGCGAACCGGGGGAACUGAAACAUCUAAGUACCCCGAGGAAAAGAAAUCAACCGAGAUUCCCCCAGUAGCGGCGAGCGAACGGGGAGCAGCCCAGAGCCUGAAUCAGUGUGUGUGUUAGUGGAAGCGUCUGGAAAGGCGCGCGAUACAGGGUGACAGCCCCGUACACAAAAAUGCACAUGCUGUGAGCUCGAUGAGUAGGGCGGGACACGUGGUAUCCUGUCUGAAUAUGGGGGGACCAUCCUCCAAGGCUAAAUACUCCUGACUGACCGAUAGUGAACCAGUACCGUGAGGGAAAGGCGAAAAGAACCCCGGCGAGGGGAGUGAAAAAGAACCUGAAACCGUGUACGUACAAGCAGUGGGAGCACGCUUCGGCGUGUGACUGCGUACCUUUUGUAUAAUGGGUCAGCGACUUAUAUUCUGUAGCAAGGUUAACCGAAUAGGGGAGCCGAAGGGAAACCGAGUCUUAACUGGGCGUUAAGUUGCAGGGUAUAGACCCGAAACCCGGUGAUCUAGCCAUGGGCAGGUUGAAGGUUGGGUAACACUAACUGGAGGACCGAACCGACUAAUGUUGAAAAAUUAGCGGAUGACUUGUGGCUGGGGGUGAAAGGCCAAUCAAACCGGGAGAUAGCUGGUUCUCCCCGAAAGCUAUUUAGGUAGCGCCUCGUGAAUUCAUCUCCGGGGGUAGAGCACUGUUUCGGCAAGGGGGUCAUCCCGACUUACCAACCCGAUGCAAACUGCGAAUACCGGAGAAUGUUAUCACGGGAGACACACGGCGGGUGCUAACGUCCGUCGUGAAGAGGGAAACAACCCAGACCGCCAGCUAAGGUCCCAAAGUCAUGGUUAAGUGGGAAACGAUGUGGGAAGGCCCAGACAGCCAGGAUGUUGGCUUAGAAGCAGCCAUCAUUUAAAGAAAGCGUAAUAGCUCACUGGUCGAGUCGGCCUGCGCGGAAGAUGUAACGGGGCUAAACCAUGCACCGAAGCUGCGGCAGCGACGCUGAUGCGUUGUUGGGUAGGGGAGCGUUCUGUAAGCCUGCGAAGGUGUGCUGUGAGGCAUGCUGGAGGUAUCAGAAGUGCGAAUGCUGACAUAAGUAACGAUAAAGCGGGUGAAAAGCCCGCUCGCCGGAAGACCAAGGGUUCCUGUCCAACGUUAAUCGGGGCAGGGUGAGUCGACCCCUAAGGCGAGGCCGAAAGGCGUAGUCGAUGGGAAACAGGUUAAUAUUCCUGUACUUGGUGUUACUGCGAAGGGGGGACGGAGAAGGCUAUGUUGGCCGGGCGACGGUUGUCCCGGUUUAAGCGUGUAGGCUGGUUUUCCAGGCAAAUCCGGAAAAUCAAGGCUGAGGCGUGAUGACGAGGCACUACGGUGCUGAAGCAACAAAUGCCCUGCUUCCAGGAAAAGCCUCUAAGCAUCAGGUAACAUCAAAUCGUACCCCAAACCGACACAGGUGGUCAGGUAGAGAAUACCAAGGCGCUUGAGAGAACUCGGGUGAAGGAACUAGGCAAAAUGGUGCCGUAACUUCGGGAGAAGGCACGCUGAUAUGUAGGUGAAGCGACUUGCUCGUGGAGCUGAAAUCAGUCGAAGAUACCAGCUGGCUGCAACUGUUUAUUAAAAACACAGCACUGUGCAAACACGAAAGUGGACGUAUACGGUGUGACGCCUGCCCGGUGCCGGAAGGUUAAUUGAUGGGGUCAGCGCAAGCGAAGCUCUUGAUCGAAGCCCCGGUAAACGGCGGCCGUAACUAUAACGGUCCUAAGGUAGCGAAAUUCCUUGUCGGGUAAGUUCCGACCUGCACGAAUGGCGUAAUGAUGGCCAGGCUGUCUCCACCCGAGACUCAGUGAAAUUGAACUCGCUGUGAAGAUGCAGUGUACCCGCGGCAAGACGGAAAGACCCCGUGAACCUUUACUAUAGCUUGACACUGAACAUUGAGCCUUGAUGUGUAGGAUAGGUGGGAGGCUUUGAAGUGUGGACGCCAGUCUGCAUGGAGCCGACCUUGAAAUACCACCCUUUAAUGUUUGAUGUUCUAACGUUGACCCGUAAUCCGGGUUGCGGACAGUGUCUGGUGGGUAGUUUGACUGGGGCGGUCUCCUCCUAAAGAGUAACGGAGGAGCACGAAGGUUGGCUAAUCCUGGUCGGACAUCAGGAGGUUAGUGCAAUGGCAUAAGCCAGCUUGACUGCGAGCGUGACGGCGCGAGCAGGUGCGAAAGCAGGUCAUAGUGAUCCGGUGGUUCUGAAUGGAAGGGCCAUCGCUCAACGGAUAAAAGGUACUCCGGGGAUAACAGGCUGAUACCGCCCAAGAGUUCAUAUCGACGGCGGUGUUUGGCACCUCGAUGUCGGCUCAUCACAUCCUGGGGCUGAAGUAGGUCCCAAGGGUAUGGCUGUUCGCCAUUUAAAGUGGUACGCGAGCUGGGUUUAGAACGUCGUGAGACAGUUCGGUCCCUAUCUGCCGUGGGCGCUGGAGAACUGAGGGGGGCUGCUCCUAGUACGAGAGGACCGGAGUGGACGCAUCACUGGUGUUCGGGUUGUCAUGCCAAUGGCACUGCCCGGUAGCUAAAUGCGGAAGAGAUAAGUGCUGAAAGCAUCUAAGCACGAAACUUGCCCCGAGAUGAGUUCUCCCUGACUCCUUGAGAGUCCUGAAGGAACGUUGAAGACGACGACGUUGAUAGGCCGGGUGUGUAAGCGCAGCGAUGCGUUGAGCUAACCGGUACUAAUGAACCGUGAGGCUUAACCUUACAACGCCGAAG
rnacentral:rRNA from 1 species